rnacentral:sRNA from 1 species
UUUUUUGUAUUUUUUUA